rnacentral:rRNA from 1 species
CAGAACGAACGCUGGCGGCGCGUCUUAAACAUGCAAGUCGAACGAUCUGUAGCAAUACAGGGAGUGGCGGACGGGUGAGGAACACGUAGGAAUCUACCUUGAAGAGCGGGACAACUUUGGGAAACCGGGGCUAAUACCGCAUAGUACAGAGAUGUUAAAGGGCUAGCAAUAGUCGCUUCGAGAUGAGCCUGCGGUCUAUCAGCUUGUUGGUGAGGUAAUGGCUCACCAAGGCUACGACGGAUAGCCGGUCUGAGAGGAUGAUCGGCCACACUGGCACUGAGACACUGGCCAGACUCCUACGGGAGGCAGCAGUUAAGAAUCUUGCGCAAUGGGGGAAACCCUGACGCAGCGACGCCGCGUGAAGGAUGAAGGCUUUCGGGUUGUAAACUUCGGUAGACUGGGAAGAAGAAAUACGUUCGUUGAGGGCGUAUAGUGACGGUACCAGUCUGAAGCCCCGGCUAAUUACGUG